UACGUAGGGGGCUAGCGUUGUCCGGAAUCAUUGGGCGUAAAGCGCGCGUAGGCGCCUCGUAAGUCUGCUGUGAAGUCAAGGGCUCAACCCUUGGAUGCCGGUGGAUACUGCGAGGCUAGAGUCCGGAAGAGGCGAGUGGAACUCCUGGUGUAGCGGUGGAAUGCGUAGAUAUCUGGAGGAACACCGGUGGCGAGGCGGACACCUGGACCGGC
rnacentral:rRNA from 1 species